rnacentral:rRNA from 1 species
CCCUUAGAUGUUCUGGGCCGCACGCGCGCUACACUGACGAUGGCAACGAGUUUUUCCUUCGCCGAAAGGUGUGGGUAAUCUUUUGAAACAUCGUCGUGCUGGGGAUAGAUCAUUGCAAUUUUUGAUCUUGAACGAGGAAUUCCUAGUAAGCGCGAGUCAUCAGCUCGCGUUGAUUACGUCCCUGCCCUUUGUACACACCGCCCGUCGCACCUACCGAUUGAACGGUCCGGUGAAAUCUUGGGAUUUGCUUUGCUUUCGUUUGUUCGAUGCUCGGCGAAGAACUUGAGUAAACCUUACCGUUUAGAGGAAGGUGAAGUCGUAACA